rnacentral:rRNA from 1 species
UACGUAGGGGGCUAGCGUUGUCCGGAAUCAUUGGGCGUAAAGCGCGCGUAGGCGGCCCGGUAAGUCCGCUCUGAAAGUCCAGGGCUCAACCCUGGAAUGCCGGUGGAUACUGUCGGGCUUGAGUACGGAAGAGGCGAGUGGAAUUCCUGGUGUAGCGGUGAAAUGCGCAGGAUAUCAGGAAGAACACCGGUGGCGAAAGGCGGCAUCCUGGACCAUGACUGACGCUGAGGAGCG